rnacentral:rRNA from 1 species
GACGAACGCUGGCGGCGUGCUUAACACAUGCAAGUCGAACGGUAAGGCCCUUCGGGGUACACGAGUGGCGAACGGGUGAGUAACACGUGGGUGAUCUGCCCUGCACUUCGGGAUAAGCCUGGGAAACUGGGUCUAAUACCGGAUAGGACUCCGGACUGCAUGGUCUGGGGUGGAAAGCUUUUGCGGUGUGGGAUGGGCCCGCGGCCUAUCAGCUUGUUGGUGGGGGGAUGGCCUACCAAGGCGACGACGGGUGGCCGGCCUGAGAGGGUGACCGGCCACACUGGGACUGAGAUACGGCCCAGACUCCUACGGGAGGCAGCAGUGGGGAAUAUUGCACAAUGGGCGCAAGCCUGAUGCAGCGACGCCGCGUGAGGGAUGACGGCCUUCGGGUUGUAAACCUCUUUCAGCACCGACGAAGCGCAAGUGACGGUAGGUGCAGAAGAAGGACCGGCCAACUACGUGCCAGCCGCCGCAGUAA